rnacentral:tRNA from 1 species
CGGGUGUAGUUCAACGGUAGAACCCCAGCCUUCCAAGCUGGUGACGUGAGUUCGAGUCUCAUCACCC